GUUCCCAUCACAUCUAUGCCUUUGAUAUUUCAGCCUUUUAACUUUAUUGUUUUCCUCUUCUCUUGUGCUUCUUCUUCAUUCCUUUGUCUUGUAAGGGAGGUUGCUAGUUGGAAGGUUUUUGAAGCUUGGUUUUCAGCUGGGCUAUCUUUUCAACACUCUCUUUUCCGGCCAUCAUAGAUCGUUUUAGGGAGUGGUCUUGGAUCUCAUUUUGCAAUUAGGCCAAUACCAGAUCAAGAGUGGUAGACCGUGGUGGAUCUUGAAAGACUGCCUGUAGAUGUUGCUUGUCCUGUUAUAAAAUUGUAGUCCUUGUCAUUGUCUAUCACUAUGUUCCUGUAUUUUGUAUUUCUGGACUUCUUGUAUCUUUGCAUUGUGUACUUUGUAGAGUCUGUAAUCCUGUAACCCAGUUGGUUUGUUAUAGUUUUGUUUGUCCUAAAUCAGGUCCUGAGGCCUUGCAGGUAUACUUGGUUCACGCCUUGUGGAUCUGAGGCCG